rnacentral:rRNA from 1 species
UAGAUUUUUGGACAAAUGGGCGAAAGCUGAUCCAGCGACGCCGCGUGAGGGACGAAGCCUUCGGGGGUGUAAACCUCUGUUGUGAGGGACGAAUAAGAUCUGGAGGGAAAUGCCAGAUCGAUGACGGUACCUCACGAGAAAGCCCCGGGCUAACUACGUGCCAGCAGCCGCGGUAAUACGUAGGGGGCGAGCGUUACCCGGAUUCACUGGGCGUAAAGGGGGCGCAGGCGAUCCAGUAUGUCGGGUGUGAAAUCCCACAGCUCAACUGUGGAAUUGCGCCCGAAACUACUGGGUUUGGGGCUGGUAGAGGGAGACGGAACUGCUGGUGUAGGGGUGAAAUCCGUAGAUAUCAGCAGGAACGCCGGUGGGGAAGCCGGUCUCCUGGGCCAAGCCCGACGCUGAGGCCCGGAAGCUAGGGGAGCAAACCGGAUUAGAUACCCGGGUAGUCCUAGCCGUAAACGAUGCCCACUAGGUGUGGGGGAGUCAUUCCUCCGUGCUGUAGCUAACGCGUUAAGUGGGCCGCCUGGGGAGUACGCCCGCAAGGGUGAAACUCAAAGGAAUUGGCGGGACCCCGCACAAGCGGUGGAGCGUGUGGUUUAAUUGGAUGCUAAGCCAAGAACCUUACCAGGGCUUGACAUGCAGGUGGUACCAACCCGAAAGGGAAGGGACCCUUUCCUUUUGGAAAGGGAGCCUGCACAGGUGGUGCACGGCCGUCGUCAGCUCGUGCCGUGAGGUGUUGGGUUAAGUCCCGCAACGAGCGCAACCCCUGCCCUUAGUUGCCAGCGGUUCGGCCGGGCACUCUAAGGGGACCGCCGGCGACGAGCCGGAGGAAGGAGGGGACGACGUCAGGUACUCGUGCCCUUUAUGCCCUGGGCUACACACGCGCUACAAUGGGUGGUACAGUGGGUCGCGACCUCGCGAGAGGGAGCCAAUCCCCAAAACCAUCCUCAGUUCAGAUCGCAGGCUGCAACCCGCCUGCGUGAAGCCGGAAUCGCUAGUAAUCGCGGAUCAGCCAUGCCGCGGUGAAUACGUUCCCGGGGUU